rnacentral:rRNA from 1 species
UACCAGCACCCCGAGUGGUCGGGACGUUUAUUGGGCCUAAAGCAUCCGUAGCCGGUUCUACAAGUCUUCCGUUAAAUCCACCUGCUCAACAGAUGGGCUGCGGGGGAUACUACAGGGCUAGGAGGCGGGAGAGGCAAGCGGUACUUUAUGGGUAGGGGUAAAAUCCGUUGAUCCAUAGAAGACCACCAGUGGCGAAGGCGGCUUGCCAGAACGCGCUCGACGGUGAGGGAUGAAAGCUGGGGGAGCAAACAGG